GGUGAUUAAACGCCGUGGGUCCCCCACGCCCUCGGUCUCUCAGCUCUCAACUAGACGACAGCUCUCCCGCGGCGGCACGCCAGAAAACCGUCCUUCGUUUCGGGCGGGCAGUUCGUCCCCUCACCGUCCCACCACGCAACCUCGCACGGCACGAGAGCCAUGGCGCCGCAGCAGGGUCAGCAGCAGGAGCAACCCCCAAUGGACGCCGCCCGCCUCCGCCUCCGCGUGGUCUCCGCCCACCUCCGCCCUUCGGCGCCCGCCGCGGGGCGCGGCCUCGACGCCAACCCCACCGCCGGCGAGUACGCCCAUGUGCAGGGUUACAGUGUGGUUCUCCCUGAGAAGUUGCAAACUGGAAAGUGGAAUGUGUACAGAUCUGCACGGUCACCUCUUAGGUUGAUAAAUAGAUUUCCUGAAAAUCCAGAUAUUGGAACGCUGCAUGAUAAUUUUGUGUAUGCAGUUGAGACAUUUAGAGAUUGUCGAUACCUGGGAACAAGAAUCCGUGAAGACGGAAUGGUUGGAGAUUACAAAUGGAUGACAUAUGGGGAAGCAAGUACGAGCAGGACUGCAAUAGGUUCUGGUCUCAUUCACUAUGGAAUACUUGAAGGUGCACGCAUUGGUCUGUAUUUUAUAAACAGACCUGAAUGGAUCAUAGUUGAUCAUGCUUGUGCUGCAUACUCAUAUGUAUCUGUGCCACUUUAUGACACCCUUGGUCCAGAUGCAGUUCAAUUCAUCGUGAACCAUGCAACAAUAGAAGUUAUUUUCUGUGUGCCUCAAACACUAAGCGCUCUGUUAAGCUUUAUAACUCAAAUGCCAUGUGUUCGUCUUAUAGUGGUAGUUGGUGGAGAAGAUGUUAAGAUUCCACCCACGCCCGCAAAUACUGGAGUGCAAAUUAUAACUUAUUCCACGCUACACAAUCAGGGAAAGAUGAUCCCUCAACCUUUCCGACCUCCAAAACCUGAUGACGUUGCUACUAUUUGUUACACAAGUGGUACCACAGGUACUCCAAAGGGAGCUGUUCUUUCUCAUGAGAACUUAAUCGCAAAUGUAGCAGGGUCAAGCCUGGAUAUUAAAUUUUACCCCUCUGAUGUCUAUAUUUCUUAUUUACCCUUGGCUCACAUCUACGAGAGAGCUAACCAGGUUGCAUUGCUUCACUAUGGCGUUGCCAUUGGAUUCUACCAGGGGGAUAAUUUGAAGCUGAUGGAUGAUCUGGCCGCUUUGAGAUCAACAGUAUUCUCAAGUGUUCCUCGGUUAUAUAACAGAAUUUAUGCAGCAAUUACAAAUGCUGUGAAGGAAUCUGGUGGGCUGAAAGAAAGACUAUUUCAUACUGCAUACAAUGCCAAGAGGCAAGCAAUUCUUAAUGGACGAAAUCCAUCGCCAAUGUGGGACAGGUUGGUGUUUAACAAAAUAAAAGCUAGGCUUGGUGGACGAGUGAGACUCAUGACUUCAGGUGCUUCUCCAUUGUCAUCAGAUGUCAUGGAAUUCUUAAGGAUAUGCUUUGGUGGUGAAGUUCUUGAAGGCUAUGGAAUGACAGAGACAUCUUGUGUCAUCUCUACAACGGAUAUUGGUGAUAAGUUAAUUGGUCAUGUUGGAUCUCCAAACCCUUCUUGCGAGGUUAAACUUGUGGAUGUACCGGAAAUGAAUUAUACUUCUGAGGAUCAACCAUAUCCUCGUGGAGAAAUCUGUGCUAGGGGACCUAUAAUUUUCCGUGGCUAUUACAAAGAUGAAGUUCAAACAAGAGAGGUCAUUGAUGAAGAUGGUUGGUUACACACUGGAGACAUAGGUUUGUGGCUGCCUGGAGGGCGCUUAAAAAUUAUAGAUAGGAAAAAGAACAUUUUCAAGUUAGCGCAAGGGGAGUACAUAGCUCCGGAGAAGAUCGAGAAUGUCUAUGCUAAGUGCAAGUUCAUUGCUCAAUGCUUUGUAUAUGGUGAUAGUUUCAACUCUUCCCUAGUUGCCAUUGUAGCUGUUGAACCUGAGGUAUUGAAGGCUUGGGCUGCAUCAGAAGGAAUUCAGGAUGUUGCAUCUUCCAGCUUAGGUUCUUACCACUGCGUCAUCAUCCGGGCUUCUAAACGGUUUACCUGACACGAAACACUCGUCUCUUUUUAAAGUAGAGUCACAGAUAGAAGGUCUAGAUUUGUAAAUCCUGUUUAUAUCCUAAAUGCUCUUUCUGACAUGCAGUACGAGGACUUAAGACAGCUCUGCGCUGAUCCUAGAGCAAGAGCCGCUGUCCUGGCUGACAUGGAUUCCAUUGGAAAGGAAGCUCAGCUAAGAGGUUUUGAAUUUGCUAAAGCUGUUACCCUUGUUGCUGAACCAUUCACAUUGGAAAAUGGUCUCCUCACCCCAACGUUCAAGGUCAAAAGGCCGCAAGCCAAGGCAUACUUCGCAAAAGAGAUCUCAGAUAUGUACGCGCAAUUGCGAGAGGCCGAGUCAGCUAAGCCGAAGCUAUAGUCGCUAGUGUAAUUAUCCGCAAAUAGCCAUUGUUAGAUAAUUAGGCAAAUUCAUGUUUAAUUUAUUCUAUAAAAAUGAUGCAAGAAAGAUUAACAUGAUAUCAUAUAUGUGCUUGUCCAAAUAAUACAUCAUCAACAUCAUCAUGAAAAAUAUUCCAA